GAGUGCGCGCCCGUAGCAAUACGGGUGGCGCACGGCGCACGGGUGCGUAACACGUGGGCAAUCUGCCCUUCGAUGGGGAAUAACUCCGGGAAACCGGAGCUAAUUCCGCAUAACAUUCCUUGGACUUAGGUUCGGGGACUCAAAGCCGUAAGGCGUCGAAGGAGGAGCCCGCGCCCGAUUAGCUAGUUGGUAGGGUAACGGCCUACCAAGGCAAUGAUCGGUAGCUGGUCUGAGAGGAUGGCCAGCCACACUGGAACUGAGACACGGUCCAGACUCCUACGGGAGGCAGCAGUGGGGAAUCUUGCGCAAUGGGCGAAAGCCUGACGCAGCGACGCCGCGUGGGGGAUGAAGCUUCUCGGAGUGUAAACCCCUUUCGACUGGGACGAAUGCCUCGCAAGAGGAGUGACGGUACCAGUAGAAGAAGCCCCGGCUAACUACGUG
rnacentral:rRNA from 1 species